UACGUAGGGUGCAAGCGUUAAUCGGAAUUACUGGGCGUAAAGCGUGCGCAGGCGGUGAUGUAAGACAGGUAUGUAAAUCCCCGGGCUACCACUGGGAACUGCAUUUGUGACUGCAUCGCUGGAGUACGGCGAGAGGGGGAUGGAAUGUCCGCGUGUAGCAGUGAAAUGCGUAGAUAUGCGGAGGAACACCGAUGGCGAAGGCAAUCCCCUGGGCCUGCUCACGUGCGCUCAUGCACGAAAGCGUGGGGAGCAAACAGG
rnacentral:rRNA from 1 species